rnacentral:rRNA from 1 species
AUUGAACGCUGGCGGCAGGCUUAACACAUGCAAGUCGAACGAGUGGCGGCCGGGUGAGUAAUGCUUGGGAAUCUCCCUUAGGGAGGGGGAUAACUACUGGAAACUGUAGCUAAUACCACGUCCUCUAGUAUGAGCCCAUUGGGGAUUAGCGAGUAGGUGGUGUAAAGGCACACCUCGGCGACUAUCUCUAGCUGGUCUGAGAGGAUGAUCAGCCACACUGCGACUGAGACACGGUCACGACUCCGACGGGAGGCAGCAGUGGGGAAUAUUGCACAAUGGGAGCAAGCCUGAUGCAGCCAUGCCGCGUGUAUGAAGAAGGCCUUAGGGUUGUAAAGUACUUUCAGCGGGGAGGCGUUAACUACAGAAGAAGCACCGGCUAACUCCGUGCCAGCAGCCGCGGUAAUUC